GUCAUCACGAUCUCGUUCAACGCCGGGUUUUCUCACCUAAAAAAGUGAGUCAACAUUAUGUGAACUGUUCUGUCUCUGGCGGUGGGGUGGUGUCAAAACCAUCUGUCAGCAUCCGAGUUCUCUCGGUGUGCCGUGGACAAGCCGUCAAUGGUGUAUGUUUCAUACAAACUUUUGUUUCAUCAAUCUGUCUGACAUACCUUUGUAUCUAAAAUAUACAAAAACAACUUUUGGCAACGGAUCUCUUGGCUCCCGCAACGAUGAAGAACGCAGCGAAAUGCGAUAUGUAGUGUGAAUUGCAGAAUUCAGUGAAUCAUCGAAUCUUUGAACGCACAUUGCGCUCCCUGGUAUUCCGGGGAGCAUGCUCGUUUCAGAAUCAUUAACAUUCUCAAAGACACGGUCUGAACCUUCGGGCGAUGCCGUUACUCUUUCGGAUGUGAGCCUUUUUGCUGCAAGGCAAUGGCUUGAAAAUGAUUGUGUUUGCAACCGGCCUCCUUGGUUCGGUUCUCUCAAGUGCAACAGAUGUUAGCUCAUUCGUUACCUCUUGAUGAGAAGCGAUUCCAUUGUCCGGAUGAUCUUACACUCAACCAAAUACACUCUCAGUGAUGGAAGGGAUCACUGUUUGAUAACUUGGUCUGAAAUCGAGCAAGAAAACCCGCUGAACUUAAGCAUAUCAA
rnacentral:rRNA from 1 species